rnacentral:rRNA from 1 species
GGAUUAGAUACCCUGGUAGUCCACGCAGUAAACGAUGAAUACUAGACGUAGGAAUUGGAUUAACGAUUUCUGUGUCGUAGCUAACGCGUUAAGUAUCCCGCCUGGGGAGUACGGUCGCAAGACUAAAACUCAAAGGAAUUGACGGGACCCCGCACAAGCGGCGGAGCAUGCGGCUUAAUUCGAUGAUACCCGUAGAACCUUACCUGGACUUGACAUAUAGGGUCUAGCUAUAGAGAUAUAGUGUGCAUUAGCGCCCUAUACAGGUGGUGCAUGGCUGUCGUCAGCUCGUGUCG